rnacentral:rRNA from 1 species
UACAGAGGUGGCAAGCGUUGUUCGGAAUUACUGGGCGUAAAGGGCGCGUAGGCGGCUUUUUAAGUCAGACGUGAAAUCCCCCGGCUUAACCUGGGAACUGCGUCUGAUACUGGGAAGCUUGAGUUCGGGAGAGGGAUGUAGAAUUCCAGGUGUAGCGGUGAAAUGCGUAGAUAACUGGAGGAAUACCGGUGGCGAAGGCGGCAUCCUGGACCGAAACUGACGCUGAGGCGCGAAAGCUAGGGGAGCAAACGGG